UACAGAGGUCCCAAGCGUUGUUCGGAUUCACUGGGCGUAAAGGGUGCGUAGGUGGCAAGGUAAGUUUGAUGUGAAAUCUCCGAGCUUAACUCGGAAACUGCAUUGAAUACUAUCUUGCUUGAGGGUUGGAGGGGGGACUGGAAUUCUCGGUGUAGCAGUGAAAUGCGUAGAUAUCGAGAGGAACACCAGUGGCGAAGGCGAGUCCCUGGACAACACCUGACACUGAGGCACGAAAGCUAGGGGAGCGAACGGG
rnacentral:rRNA from 1 species